GGGGUUGUGGCUCAGUGGUAGAGCACUUGCCUAGCAUGCAUGAGGCACUGGGCUCGAUUCCUGGCACCA
rnacentral:tRNA from 1 species